GCAAAACUUCACCGAAUGCUUCGUGCCGCCCCGCCCGGGGCGCGCGGGCGGGGGGGAGCAUUCACCGAAAGUUUUGAGUGGCGAACGGGUGAGUAACACGUGGGUAACCUGCCCAGAAGAGGGGGAUAACACUUGGAAACAGGUGCUAAUACCGCAUAACAAUAAAAACGCAUGGUUUUAUUUAAAAGAUGGUUUUGCUAUCACUUCUGGAUGGACCCCCCGCGGCGUAUUAGCUAGUUGGUAGGGUAAAGGCUUACCAAGGCAAUGAUACGUAGCCGAACUGAGAGGUUGAUCGGCCACAUUGGGACUGAGACACGGCCCAAACUCCUACGGGAGGCAGCAGUAGGGAAUCUUCCACAAUGGACGAAAGUCUGAUGGAGCAA
rnacentral:rRNA from 1 species